GCAAUUAAAGAAACAGUGGAAUUGGUUGCAUGUGUGAUCAUCAAAUUGCUACUGAAUACCUUAACGGUACGGAAGAUAUUGUCCGGUUUGUUGUGUCUGGUACAAGUAUUUUCAUGCAUAUUCACAAUCUGUGAUGCGAUGCUUUUGGUAGCUCUGACUGAUUGGUAUGCAGCUGUUUGCUUUUUGA